rnacentral:rRNA from 1 species
UACGGAGGGUGCGAGCGUUGUCCGGAAUCACUGGGCGUAAAGUGUGCGCAGGCGGCCGCGCAAGUCGAGUGUGAAAGCCCCGGGCUUAACUUGGGAAUUGCACUCGAAACUACGUGGCUGGAGUGUGGCAGAGGAAGGUGGAAUUCCACGUGUAGCGGUGAAAUGCGUAGAGAUGUGGAGGAACACCAAUGGCGAAGGCAGCCUUCUGGGCCAACACUGACGCUCAUGCACGAAAGCGUGGGGAGCAAACAGG